AUUGUACAUAUUUGUUAGUAACAUAUUUAAAGAAUUAUAUGUAAAAAAAAGAAAAGAAAAAAAAAAAAUAUGGAAAAGAAUAAUGACAUUUCAAAAGAAAAUAAAAAAAUAAAAAAAAUAAAAAAAGAAAAACGAAGUAUAAAUAAAACAAGUGAAAAUAUUAAUGAUGAAACAAAAAGUGAACGUUUUUUAUCAGAAAAAGCAGAUAAUAUUAGUAUAAAUAAAGUUGCUAUAGAAAAUGUUAUAAAAAACCAAAAGGUUGUAAAACAGAUAAAAAAGGAAGACGAAUUUUUUUAUGAAAGUGACAAACAAGAAAAUAAAGAUAAUGCAAUUGGAAGAGCGAUAGAAACAAAAGUUGUUAGCAAAGGUGAACUAGAUAGUAGCAUUAAUUUAAACGAAACAAGCGAUAAUAAUGAAGAGGGUGUAAAUGUAAACAGUAUGAAUGAAAACUAUAAUAGUAAAAUAAACUCUGUUUAUUGUAAUAAUAAAAUGAAUAUUACUAAUAAUAUAGAAAUGGAAUAUAAAAAUUUUGAUUCUGAUGUUUAUAAUAAAAAUAAUUCUGAAUAUUAUCAAAAUACAAAUUACUUCGAUGAAAGUUCCAAUGAUUUGUUGAUUGGAAGUAACAUAAAAGAUAAAGCGAAACGUGAACAAGUAGUAGUAAUAGAAGAAGAAGAAAAAAAAAAAAUAGUUGAAAAAGGUGACAAAGUUGAAAAAGUUUAUCUAAAUAAAAAAACAAAUAAUGAAACUUUAGUACAUUCUACGCAAGUUGAGCUGAUGGAAACCAUUUCUAAUGAAACAAAGAACGUGCAAGUUUCGAAGAAAAAGCAGAGUAGGAGAGAAAAAACAUAUAAAUCGUCAGCAGCACCAAUAGAAGCAGUAAGCCAAAGAGUAAACCAAAUACAAAGAACAAAAGAAGAGAUUCGACUAGAUGGACUAAACGCGAUUCUAUAUGAACAAUUCCAAAAAAAGCAAAAUAUUUUAAACGAAAAAUUACGUUUGAGAAUAUAUGAAAAGAACCAAAUAGAAGAACAAGUAACAAAAGCAGGUUUAGAAUUGUUUAGAGUUAAUAAAGAAAAAUAUAUAUUAGAAAAAAAAGAAAAAGAGUUAAACGAUAAUAUAGAACAUAUAAAAUCGGAAAAAAAAAAAAACAUAAAUGAAAAUGGUGAGCUAAAAAAAGAUUAUGAAAAAGAGUUGGGUGCAUUAAAAAAAGAAUUAAAUUAUUAUUCAGAAAUAUAUAGUAAAUUUAAUAGUAGUCUUUUAGAACUUAAUAAUUUAAAAAAAACUUUUGAGUUUUUAAAUUCAAGAACUAAAAUAAAUGAAAAUGUAGCCACAACAAUGAAUGAAAACGUAAUGAAAGAAACUAGUAUGAAUAAGA
rnacentral:lncRNA from 1 species